ACCGACAUCAGCGACUCGUUCUGCGACCCAUUGCCGACGGCGAGGUAGGCGUUCAUCCCCAGCUCGCGCAUCUGCUGUUCGCCGAUCACCCGGGUGAUGACGUUUUUGCUGUAGGUAUCGGCCAGCUGACGCGCCUGAGAGGCCAGAUAGGCGGCGUUACAGAUGUUCGGCGGCAUAUUGCCAAGAUCUUUUGC
rnacentral:antisense_RNA from 1 species